rnacentral:rRNA from 1 species
UACGUAGGGCGCAAGCGUUGUCCGGAAUUAUUGGGCGUAAAGAGCUCGUAGGCGGUUUGUCGCGUCUGCUGUGAAAACUCGAGGCUCAACCUCGGGCUUGCAGUGGGUACGGGCAGACUAGAGUACAGAAGAGGUGACUGGAAUUCCCAGUGUAGCGGUGAAAUGCGUAGAUAUUGGGAGGAACACCAGUGGCGAAGGCGGCUCACUGGACCGGUACUGACGCUGAUGCGCGAAGCGUGGGGAGCAAACGGG